rnacentral:misc_RNA from 1 species
GUGGGAGCUGGCUUGCCUGCGAUAGCGGUGGGUCCGCUGGCCCAUCUGUUACUGAUGCAUCGCUAUCGCAGGCAAGCCAGCUCCCAC